UGAUAAGGUCUAGUCUCCAUCCCUAAACAACAAAAUCUUACAACGGCUGCCUGCAAAUACAAAAAUCUUAAAAACAGCUGCAAUUCCAGAGAAAAAAGAUCCUCUCUACCUCUGUAUGAAUUACAAACCCUAGCCCCCCUCCCUUAGCUUCCCUCCCCCACCCACCCCCUAGGGUUUGCAAAAAAUUCAGACUCAUAGAUUCUCUCUCUCCAACCCACACUUUUUCUUGGGUUUUGAUACUUUGCACUUUAAUGCCUUUUCCUUUGGAGCUGGUGUUUCUAUUGUAUUGUUAUUUGUAGGGACAUGUGCCCUUGAAAAUGGCGUCCAUGGAAUGGAACACAACCAAAUUUCACUUUUGGGAAGUUGUUGGAACCCUCCCAUCCCAUAGUCCCACUCCCUUUUUCAAUACUUCAAAUUUUUUUCGUAGAUUAAUGUAUAUCAUCCUACUCUUUAAGACUGGGAUACCGAUUAGUUGGAGGUUCAAUUUCUUUCGUGGAGAAGGCUCUUUCUUUAGUGAUAUCUGUAAAUAUUUCCUCUGAAGAGGGUUUCACUUGGGGGUGCUGUUAGGUUCUUUUUUGUUUGUGUUUCUGUUAGUGUUAAAAAAGAUCAUUACUUAAUAGUUCUGUAAAUUUUCCUUUGAAAUUUUCAAUACAUCACAAUUAUUUUGUUCAAA